UUCCAAUCAAUGCUCGGACUUGUGAACUUCGCUAAUUUUUCCGGAACCGAACCGGAAAGGGCGACUCAUUGGAUCCAGUGAGGAUUAGUCGGAUUCUCGAAGAUCUUGAGAGCCAUAGGGAGAGAGUUGUUGAUAUUCUUGAAAACACUACAAUCAAUGAUCUUGUUCCUACGAACGCCGCACAAUUUUCUUUCUAUGAUCUUCUACUCAUCAGCUGUGCAUGGGAUCGAUCCAGAAAGUGAAGCUUACAUAACAUGAAAAGAUUCACAAGUCAGAAAGGUGCUUUAUAUCAUAUUUGAAACUGUUUUUAUAUAGGUUUGAUUGGCUAGGCUGCUUUCGGCAGGAAGGAUAGAUGUCCUCUCUCCUACAGUCCUACUUAACUGUUCCAUAUCUUUUUGGCAAAAACAAAAAAAUUGAAAAGUUGAUU